UUUUGACCUAGCUCUAUAAAUAGAGCACUGGAAAAAACCCAUCAGCUGCAAUGGCCCCAGGACCACACGCUACCUAUCAAGCAUCAUUCUGGAGAAUGUCCUUUGGCUCAGUGUUUAAGACUCCAGUUUGCUGCCUUUUUUCCCCAAUCCACUCCCAAGGGGAAUACAGAGAGGAGAGGAUAAAAUUUUAGUCAUUUUUAAGUACAGCUGUAAAGGCAAAUGGUUGCAAACUCUAUUCCAUCUGCUCUCUCUGAGGACCUGAGCUUGACCUUGUGGAACCUUCUUUCUGGGAAGUUGAAGAAUUUCCAGGAUUAGCUCAAGUCUGAGGCUGCCAACUGUGACAAUCUACAAAGCUCUCUUAGGUAAUGAUUCAGACCCCAUUUCUGCUCAAGGCCAAAAUGGUCCCCAGUGAGUUGAAGAUACUCUCAUUUCCUGAACCUAGACUAUAAUGUGAGUUGACCCCGGAAGAAUUUUGGAAGGCAAGCUUCAGCAUCUCUGCAUAUUAAAGAUUCAACAACUGAUAUAUCUGUGACAACUGAAAUGUAAUUAAACUUGGAAAGUAAGGGUGAAGAGGUCAUCAGAACAAGUUUCAGAAAGAAUACCACAAGAAGAGAGCAUGCAAGAGAGAAAAAAGACUCACAAAUUUAAUGACGACUAAUCUUCACUAAUUCUGGAGGAAGGUGUUUUUGAAAAUCUCCUGGACUAAAUAUUUUAAUUUUCCAGCAGAAUACCAAAUUUCCAAUGCUGUUUAGAUAAAAUGCCAAAUUCAUCUCACCAUCCCAACCCUGAGUUGGUUAAGAAUGAAUCUAUCUUCUUACUGAUGUCAGCUGGCCCAGGAAAGAGAAGGCUGCAGGGACAGCACUAGUACAACAGGGUCUGGAGGUUGCCCUGAUCACUCCUCAGACACUGUCUUUCCUUGUAUCUUCCAAACAGUGCAAGCAUCUAGGUGGCUGAUGAAACAGCAAAGUGAGCUUCUAACGUGUCUCUGUGACUAACUCAUUCUGUUACCUCCAUACACCUCACUUUCUCCAUUUGAAAAAAAAAGAAGAAAGUAGGCUUAGAGUACUUCUAAUGUUCCUUUGACCUCUGAGAUGCCCGGUGACUACUAUAUCUCUGCAUAGACUGGCAUUUUUACCAGCUGUGGUAUAUUCUCUACCUUUUAAGUUUCAUCCAAUGUGGGUCUCCAAGGUUACCCAAUAGUGUCUGAGGAGUCUCAGGUCAUGCAUUCAAGCUUUGCUUGCUAAUAGGAGCAUUUACUUCUUCCACCCCUGCAGGAUGGAGUUAACCUCAGAAUUAUAGUGUUCCAGGUGACCUUAAUCAGGGAAACCCACUAGUAUAUGCCAACAGAUAAAAUCCAAAAUGAGUAAAGAUGAAGACCCCAAACAUGAAGAUUUAACAAGUCCAAACUAUAACAGGUUAAGUUCAUGUGUGAACAUUUAGUCAGUAAAGAGGCAGCUUUUUAAAUAAAUGACUAGAAUUUCAAAACUUAGAUUUUUCCAUUAUCCAAGAUUUGCAAACUAGUUAAUAACCCAGCUCAGCAACUAUAUCCAUAACAAUGUAUUUCCACAAUGUUAGUUGAGGAAAUUUUAAGAACAGUCAGCAACUCCAAGGAACUUUUCAUUCAAGGACUCCAAAAUGUUAUGUAAGUAUUAUUUCUUAUGAUCCCAAACAGAUGUGGAAUUGAGGCUCUUCAUCUGAGAAAUAAGGAACAUUUUACAAAGUUGUCUUGGGUUAGAGAGUAAGCCAGAACUUGACAGAGAUUUCAACAAACCACUCAGAAUUAUCUGGCUUCUAAUCUGUUGCACAUUAGCAGAAUACCUGGCUUUAAAAUAAUAGAGUAAAAAACUCAGACGAUUCAUUGAGAAGCAAUGUGUCCAAUUUGCUCUUCAAUAUCAGAUUUCCCUAGCAACUCGAUGGUCCAUUUGCUUACUAUCUUCAUUUGUAAAUCUUUUGGAAGUCUGACCAGGAUGGCCCAAAUAUAGAUCUGUCAGAAUUAUUAAUACAUAAAGGCCAUGUGUGUUAUUGAUUUUUAAAAAAUUAAUUUUCACUCUUCUACAUUACCUUUCAAUUCAGUUUACAGUGCAGCUUCCUUAAGAUAGACUGACAUUUAGAACACAUUGGUAAAUCUGGAUAAAAUGAGUACAAAGCUAAUAGCAAAGAAGUAGUACAGCAUUAUGGUCUAAUUUUUAAAAAAUGACAUAAGUUUUAUACAUAGAAAAGUGGCUAGAAUUAUAAAUACCAAUAUUUUACAUCAUCUUACUGUAAUGGUUAAAAUCUUUAUUUUCUUUUUGGCUACCUAUAUUUCCUAUUGAUAUAUAAAGUAACAGAUAAACUUUAUAAUAUUGAACAAAAGAACUAACACCAAUGAGGUUCAGAACCUCCUAUUCAACUUCAUUUAUAUAAAGUUCAAAAACAGGCAAACUAAUCUAUGA